CCUACGGGUGGCAGCAGUGGGGAAUAUUGGACAAUGGGCGAAAGCCUGAUCCAGCCAUGCCGCGUGUGUGAAGAAGGCCUUCGGGUUGUAAAGCACUUUCAGUGGGGAAGAAAGCCUUGGGGCUAAUACCCUCGAGGAAGGACAUCACCCACAGAAGAAGCACCGGCUAACUCCGUGCCAGCAGCCGCGGUAAUACGGAGGGUGCGAGCGUUAAUCGGAAUUACUGGGCGUAAAGCGCGCGUAGGCGGUCUGAUAAGCCGGUUGUGAAAGCCCCGGGCUCAACCUGGGAACGGCAUCCGGAACUGUCAGGCUAGAGCGCAGGAGAGGAAGGUAGAAUUCCCGGUGUAGCGGUGAAAUGCGUAGAGAUCGGGAGGAAUACCAGUGGCGAAGGCGGCCUUCUGGACUGACACUGACGCUGAGGUGCGAAAGCGUGGGUAGCAAACAGGAUUAGAACCCCAGUAGUC
rnacentral:rRNA from 1 species